GGAGGGUACAGCUUAGUGGUAGAGUACAUGCCUAGCAUACACAAGGUCCUGGGUUCAAUCCCCAGAACUUCCA
rfam:Camelus ferus unplaced genomic scaffold scaffold475, whole genome shotgun sequence.